AGAGUUUGAUCAUGGCUCAGAUUGAACGCUGGCGGCAGGCCUAACACAUGCAAGUCGAACGGUAACAGAAAGCAGCUUGCUGCUUUGCUGACGAGUGGCGGACGGGUGAGUAAUGUCUGGGAAACUGCCCGAUGGAGGGGGAUAACUACUGGAAACGGUAGCUAAUACCGCAUAACGUCGCAAGACCAAAGAGGGGGACCUUAGGGCCUCUUGCCAUCGGAUGUGCCCAGAUGGGAUUAGCUAGUAGGUGGGGUAACGGCUCACCUAGGCGACGAUCCCUAGCUGGUCUGAGAGGAUGACCAGCCACACUGGAACUGAGACACGGUCCAGACUCCUACGGGAGGCAGCAGUGGGGAAUAUUGCACAAUGGGCGCAAGCCUGAUGCAGCCAUGCCGCGUGUAUGAAGAAGGCCUUCGGGUUGUAAAGUACUUUCAGCGGGGAGGAAGGGAGUAAAGUUAAUACCUUUGCUCAUUGACGUUACCCGCAGAAGAAGCACCGGCUAACUCCGUGCCAGCAGCCGCGGUAAUACGGAGGGUGCAAGCGUUAAUCGGAAUUACUGGGCGUAAAGCGCACGCAGGCGGUUUGUUAAGUCAGAUGUGAAAUCCCCGGGCUCAACCUGGGAACUGCAUCUGAUACUGGCAAGCUUGAGUCUCGUAGAGGGGGGUAGAAUUCCAGGUGUAGCGGUGAAAUGCGUAGAGAUCUGGAGGAAUACCGGUGGCGAAGGCGGCCCCCUGGACGAAGACUGACGCUCAGGUGCGAAAGCGUGGGGAGCAAACAGGAUUAGAUACCCUGGUAGUCCACGCCGUAAACGAUGUCGACUUGGAGGUUGUGCCCUUGAGGCGUGGCUUCCGGAGCUAACGCGUUAAGUCGACCGCCUGGGGAGUACGGCCGCAAGGUUAAAACUCAAAUGAAUUGACGGGGGCCCGCACAAGCGGUGGAGCAUGUGGUUUAAUUCGAUGCAACGCGAAGAACCUUACCUGGUCUUGACAUCCACGGAAGUUUUCAGAGAUGAGAAUGUGCCUUCGGGAACCGUGAGACAGGUGCUGCAUGGCUGUCGUCAGCUCGUGUUGUGAAAUGUUGGGUUAAGUCCCGCAACGAGCGCAACCCUUAUCCUUUGUUGCCAGCGGUCCGGCCGGGAACUCAAAGGAGACUGCCAGUGAUAAACUGGAGGAAGGUGGGGAUGACGUCAAGUCAUCAUGGCCCUUACGACCAGGGCUACACACGUGCUACAAUGGCGCAUACAAAGAGAAGCGACCUCGCGAGAGCAAGCGGACCUCAUAAAGUGCGUCGUAGUCCGGAUUGGAGUCUGCAACUCGACUCCAUGAAGUCGGAAUCGCUAGUAAUCGUGGAUCAGAAUGCCACGGUGAAUACGUUCCCGGGCCUUGUACACACCGCCCGUCACACCAUGGGAGUGGGUUGCAAAAGAAGUAGGUAGCUUAACCUUCGGGAGGGCGCUUACCACUUUGUGAUUCAUGACUGGGGUGAAGUCGUAACAAGGUAACCGUAGGGGAACCUGCGGUUGGAUCACCU
rnacentral:rRNA from 11 species